UAGCUCGUGGCCAUAGGCAGGAACGUUUAAUCUAUUUCUUCUCGCGUUGUAAUCUCGGUGGUUGUACUCCGUGUAUUGGUUUUCGUACCUCAAUCCCUCCCCCAUACAAAUUUUAUUGGUGUAAACUACGCUAAAAAGUCGGAGGCAUGAAACACACCCAACCGGUUCCCUUGCAGAUCCUCGAGAUCGUAACAAACGGAUCCUAUUUUUCCUCUUACUUUAGCCGGGGCGAAUACAUCUGCCAGUUUGGCUGAGAAA